AGGGGGUGCACAGGCCAUAAGGGAGUGUGGCAUGAGAGUGAGGUGUUGGGCUUAACAAAAGGCCCAAAGAGAUGUUGUAUGUUACACUUAGCAAGGAGGGAGCGUGUACUAAGCAUAUUAGGGGUGCAUGAAUGGAAUUCCAUGGGCUUAGACUAGGAAGCCCAAUGCGGAAUAAGGCCAAGGCUGGGGGGAGAAAUCACUCAGUACAAUUCAUUUCACAUUUCAGUUUUGUUCCAAGUCUUCCUCUCUCAUAAAACACUUCCCUCGCCGAUGCUUUGCUCCUCCGCGUUGGAGGUGGUGGAAUGGGUCCAAAAUUGCCAAUAACACCAUCAAAAUGCUCCUCUCAAUGUCCUCUCCCUCAAUCUAGCCUAAAUUUCAUUCAAAACCUAACUAAAUUCUCAGAAUAAAGCUAAGUAUCCAAGAACCUUAUGAUGCAAAAGGUGAAAUUAAAUGAAGAUGAAAGCUUAAUCUGAACUCAAACCUUAGAGGUUUAGUUUAGAUACAUCAAUGCUACAUUGUGGUAACAGAAUUAGAGCAAGAAGAAGAGGAAUUUCGAGAAACUACUUGUGAGAAUCUGACUUGUCUCAGAUAAUGUUGAAGAUGGAGCUGAUGAAUAUGCAGAGAAAAACCAGAGAAUAUUUAAUUAGGAACCCAAAGUUUAUCACAUUUCCUGAACACACUGCUAGACUUCUUUAUACUUCCUUGGUCGGCUAAAGGUUGUAGGUUUGAACCAAUGAAGGCCUUCUUUCACGCCCCGAACCAUCAAGAUAAUGACAAUCGCCCAAAUGCAAUUACAAGUAAUGGAUGGCAUAGAGAUAGCCAUGAUAACCUGGAUCAAUAAUGGUUUUUGAUUGCGAACCUUCUUCGGAUGAUGACCUCUUGCUAUCCCUAGUUGAUGAUAAAGGUUGAGUUGACAUUGAAUAAUACCGAUCCUUGCAUUAGGUCUAGUGGUAUGAAGAAAGUUACUCUGUUACAGGAUGAAAACCAAGUUUCAUCCUUUAGAGUACAUGAUGAAGCACUAUUAUGUUAUGAAAAUAAUGGCAAUGACGAUGAGUUUCACUUCAUUGGUUCAACAUUGCAGCUCAGAGAAAUUUUUAUACUUGUUCAACCUUUAGUGGAUGUUCUCGAAGCAUUCUCGUCCUUAACGAUACUUCCCGAUACUAUAUUUUGUUACUACUAGAUUGACUUCUGAAUGACCCGGGUAGCGGGAACGGUUCUCAAAAUUUUCAUGUAGGAGAAGAACAUAAGCACGAGUUGAUCCCUUUUUUGUCUAAAUAACAUGAAGCAUUUUCAUCAGUGAAUUGACUGUUGUAUCCAAAAUUGGUGUGGCAUAACUGUUGGUACCAAUGAAACUCAAAAGCUUUUCUAAAUCCUUGCUUAGUAAGAAUAUAACAUAAGUUACACAUUUUGUGUCUUGCCAUUCUAAAAAUAGGGGAAAUUCUACAUGUUUGGAAUUUGUGGAAGAUUUUGCACUUGUUGAAGCUUCAUAAGAGGUUAGCUCUAUUGAGGGUGCAUUGACAAUAAUAUAUGAAUGAGAGGCAUCAAGCCGUACAGGAUAAUGUAGAGGAACUUUCAAGAAUGAAGUUAUAAGUGAAAUAUCAUGUGCAACCUAUCCUAAGACUGUAGCAGAUUUCUAAUUUUCUUUUUUAUCCGUGAAAAAACUCAAAAUGAUACCAUAUUUAUCGAGUUUAUGCUGAAGGUUUCGCUUCUUUAAAUUACAACCACCACUUGGGAAAUCGUCGCGGUAAUUGUAUUCCUUUGUAAUGGAAAAGCUAUUACUUGCUCUUAUAUUUGCAAGACAUUUACCACUUAAAAUGUUGCUUACAGUGUUAAAUAUCGCAUUUCCUUCAGACAAAAACUCAUCUGAAUCAGUCUUGCAGUAUGAUAUGAUAAGGUCCUUGUCACUGGUUAUAUACAUAUUGUUCGUAUUACAGUUAGGAUGUCACGAGUUCUCCACAGAAGUUCCACACAACCACGAUUCUAUUUUGAAAUGCAUAUAGCAUCAUAAAUUCCGUUUUGUUGUCUAAUUUAAGCUCAAAGGUAUGAACAUCAAGGAUUUGGAGGUUUUGACGAGAGAAACAUUUGCAUUAUUUGUCACUUUAGCGAGAGGGGGAUGUUUCUUCGUAACCAAGUCUUGACAGCAUUGAUAACCUCUGGGACUUAAGAGUGUCACCGACAUUGUUCUGUUUUCCAAGCAUCUGGGCAUGUUACCCAUUUGUUACAUUUGAUUGCGUUCCUCCAAACUGCUGUUGUGGACCUUGCUGACCUUUCAUAGGUAUACUUGAAGUUGAACCACCAUAGGUUGCUCCUUACUUUGGAUUCGAGUCAUUAUAGUUGGCUUUGUGCUUUGAAGUUGAACCGUUGGAAUUGGCUCCUCGCUUUGAAGUCGAACCGUUGAAUUAGCUCAUUGACUUCCAUUUUGAACAUGGUGUUUUGAAUGUGGGUGUUUUCUCCGCCUUCAUGCUUAGCUAGAAGUGUACCAUUUCUCUCAGAAGUCAGAAUCUUCAUGUGUGAGUCUUCUUUGGAUGAUGGUGAAUUUUCAUUUUCCUUCAAGCAACUUACAAUAUCAGGGUCUUGUCCAACCUUACAUAAUGCAAAUUUAUUGAUGUCAUUUCCUCAUCGAUGAAACUGAUUUUAUCAUUGUCACUUUUUUCUUGAAAUUUAUUAAAACCUUCACUAGAAAAAGUACUGUCAACUUUAGCAGUCACUGCAUUUAUGUCAUUUGUAUCUGGCUUCUGAAAGUGAUCAACAGAAGGUCAUCGCUCUUCAUGCACCGAAUCGAGUUUGCUCGUUGAUGUGACCUCAUCAGUAGGCCCCUAUUUGUCAUUACCAUUGUUGUAAAUGAUUGAUUUACUUUAGUCCUCAUAUUUGACAUCAUCUCUGUGGGAAGCUUGAUCUUCGACAACUUGUUCAAAACCGAUAUAGUUGUCUAUGUUUCUGAACAAACCAAAACCGCAACAUACAGUUGUCACGCUACGAAAAAUAUUUGAGUGCAUCGCACGCUCGAAAAUACAACAGAGUCUCCACCGAAAUUUAUUUAUUCCAAAAGAAAUAGAAAAUAUCGAUAAAACCCAAGGGGAAGAGAAACGGGUAAGGAAGUCAAUUAUGUAAGGGGAAAAUAUUAAACCUCUCACAUCUAUUGUACUCAACGAGAACCAUUUUGAUUGUUCUUUGCGGAUGGGUGUUACUAUCUAAAGAUUACUUGUGAAUGCUAAAAGGGGAAAAUAAGUUUAUUAAUUAGUGUGCUCGCCAAGGAUUAGAACCCCCGUGCCUACGUAUUCUCAUAGUGCAAUGAGAAAAUCAGAGCUUCGCAGUUCAUGGUAGAAAAUGCGGAAGUGUUGAUUGAUUUUAGGGAACAAUUAUAAUUGUAUCCUAGAAGUGUGUAGAUGUUAGCAGAUUUUGAUCCUUGUUCAGAUGCUCCGAGCUAUUAGUUUGACUGCUAAGGAAUGAAUUAUAACAGUUCUUUUAUGUAAAUAAGAGAUUUUUUUUAAAAGGUUUAUGUGAUAAGAGAAAAGAAAGAGUUGCUUGAAUAGAAAAAGAAAAAGAACUUGCUUGAAUUGCAAAAGUAUUAUUUGAAUUGUAGAAGAGUUGUGAAAUGAGAAAAGUGUUAUGGUGAAAGUACCAUUUAAAUCAGGAUUAUGUUGUUUGGAUCCAUAGGGUAGGUGUAUCUAAACUAAAGAGUUUGUUUCCUUAACCAAUAGAUGGUGUGGCCAAUGCAGAAUUUUAGGAUUUUUCCUAGAUCCAAGGAUCAAGACCUACAAGAAAGGGUUUGCGAGAGCAUCAAGCUCCACAGGGCAAUGCAUGAGGUUUUCCAGAGCAUGAGGCUCCACAGGGAAAUGCAUGAAUGUUGCCAGAGCAUAAGGCUCCACAAGGAAAUGCAUGAAGGUUGCCAUAGCAUGAGGCUCCAUAGGGAAAAAUAAAAGAAAAGGGUUUUCCAUAGCAUGAGGCUCCACAGGGCAAUACAUGAAAGUUUCCAAAGCAUGAGGCUCCACAGAGAAAUGCAUGAGGUUGCCAGAGCAUGAAGCUCUACAUGACAAUGCAUGAGGUUUCUAGAGCAUGAAGCUCCACAGGGCAAUGCAUGAAAGUUUGAUUCAGAGAUGGGUGUUUAACCAUGAGGUGAUUAACCCAAAGAAUGUAUGGGUUUCAAGAAGAGUGUGUGUUUGGUCCAAAGGAAAAUGUAUUUGUUGAUGAGUGUAAUAUAUGUUGAUUGUUGAAGUGUCUAUGGAGAAGAAGGCUUGGCAAUUAUUCGAUUUGAAUUGGACUAAAGUCUAUGAACAGAGGCAAAUACUUUGAAUAAUUGGGGCCUACGCCCCGUAUCCAAAGAUACUCAAAACAAGGAUAGGAAUAACCCCUCUCAUUCUUCUUCGUUGCUUAAAGCUCGUGGCGCAUAAUUCGCAUCAUGACUUACAUGUGUUUUGAAAGAAGAAUCUUUUUGUUGUGUUUGAUGUCCAGAAUCUUCAUCCUUGAGGUCUUGCAUGAUGUCAUGAACUUGUGUUUGAUUUGAGGUCCAGUGUGAUGCAAGUACAGAGGUCUAAUCCUAACAAGUUAUCAAGAGACUUGUGAUCACUUGACUAGAUAGGGGAAUUAGAUAAAAGUGAAAUGAUUAAUUGAUCAAAUUUGACUUUGAUCUGUGAAUCACUCACGACAUGGAUCAAGAUAUCAGGAACAUGGAUUUUCAAAUCUAGAAUCACAAAGAAAAUGAAGUGUUAACAAGCAUAUUAAUUUCUAAAAUUUAAUCUUGAAUUAACUAAUGAAUUAAAGGAUAAAUCAACCUAGUAUUAGCAUAGGUAUUAGUUACUAAAAAACUAAUUGAAAAUUGAAUCUAAAACUAAUCUUGAUCGGUUGCUAAUUAAAACUAAGUAUAUCAUCAUCUCUUCAAACUAUAUUUCAUAUCCUAAUAAAAUGUGAAACAAGUAUUAAACAUGUGUUAAAAGAUUUAACUAGAAAAGAUAUUAAGAAAACAAACAAACAAAGAUUAAAGAAAAAGAAGAAAUAGAAAAGAGAGGCAGGGGUGUAUAGUGGGCCUGCAGUGUGUAGUCAGCAAUUAUGUAUGGGCUUUGAACCAGAAAUCCCAAAGUGUUAUGAAAAUUGUUCAGGAGGGGUAUGGUUGUGGCUGAUGGGGUAUAGCAUUAAUUUUAGUGGGCUCAGGGGUUAGGCCCAACACACAUCAGCCAAGAGAAAUAUUAGAAGGGUUCAGUAACUCAAAUUAUUCAUGUUUCAUAUGAAUCAUGUCCCUGACUCAUGGCGUCACCUGGGCCAAACCUCGCCGUGCCGGAAAUCGCUUUCGGCGCCGACGAAGGUCUAAACCCUUUCGAAUAUACAUCAAAACAAUCAUUUGCCUCCCCUCUCUCUCAAUCUUGUGAUGUCUUCUUCUAAUUCCUCAACUAGAGCCCAAACUGAGCCAAAAGGAAACGAACCCUAAGAUCUUAAAAUCAAAUUAAACGAUAAGUAUGAAGAAGAUGAAGUCCAAACCUUAGGGGUUUGGCUCCAUAGAGUCUAAUAUACAUUGUGGCAAGAAGAAUCAAGCAAGAGGAAGAGAAAUACUCUUACCUUCAAGGCGGAGGCUGCCCUGGUGUAUGUUGAAAUUGAAGAUGAUGAAGUUGAAAAAUCAAGAAUACCAGAGAUUAUCCAGGAUUGAUGUAGGCUUGAAAUGAGGAUAUGCCCGUGAAGACUUUGGUCAAGGCAUGAAAAUUUGGAGCAAGACAAGGAUCAAGGUUAUUUAUAGAGGAUACCUUGGAGACUUGAAGAUUUUGGAGGGAUGUCUUUGUGAAUGAAGCUAGGUUUAGGUAGUUGACUCUAGGAAAAAGAUGUAGUUUUUGUAUGGAAUUUGAUUAUGAUUGGUGUAAUGAAUUUUUUGAUGACUUGUAAUGAGAAACAUGGGCCCUCUUUGAAUGAA